CCUGCCCUUCAGACGGGGACAACAGCUCGAAAGGGCUGCUAAUACCGGAUACGACUGCGAUUGCGCUUGCAGUUGCAGUGAAAGUGAAUGCGCUGAAGGAUGGACUCGCGUCCCAUUAGCUAGUUGGUGAGGUAACGGCUCACCAAGGCGACGAUGGGUAGCCGGCCUGAGAGGGUGACCGGCCACACUGGGACUGAGACACGGCCCAGACUCCUACGGGAGGCAGCAGUAGGGAAUUUUGCGCAAUGGGGGCAACCCUGACGCAGCGACGCCGCGUGAGCGAAGAAGGCUUUCGGGUCGUAAAGCUCUUUUGUUUAUGACGAAUGUGCAGACUGUGAAUAAUGGUUUGUAAUGACGGUAGUAAACGAAUAAGCCACGGCUAACUACGUGCCAGCAGCCGCGGUAAUACGUAGGGGGCGAGCGUUGUCCAGAGUUACUGGGCGUAAAGAGCGUGUAGGCGGUUGAAAAAGUCAGGUGUGAAAUUCUUCGGCUCAACCGAGGGACUGCGCUUGAAACUUUUCGACUGGAGUUUGGGAGGGGCAACCGGAAUUCCUGGUGUAACGGUGAAAUGUGUAAAUAUCAGGAGGAACACCCGUGGCGAAGGCGGGUUGCUGGACCAAAACUGACGCUGAAACGCGAAAGCGUGGGUAGCAAACAGGAUUAGAUACCCUGGUAGUCCACGCUGUAAACGAUGAGUGCUA
rnacentral:rRNA from 1 species